AUCUUCUUAGUAUAACCAGUACAACUGACUUCCAAUCAGCAAGAUCCGAAUCAAUAACGGAAGAAGAUA
rnacentral:tRNA from 1 species